AGCACAGAGGAAAUAAUACAGGCUGAGGAGAAGUCUCCAGAAAUGGGCACAUCAGAGGCUCUGGGUUGGCUCCACAACCCCAGGACAGCGGAGUCUGAGGGGUUCUCUCAGCUCUAACUCUCCCCUUUCCUUCUUAUGGCCGCCCCAUCACCGCUGCUCCUCCGGACACUCUGAUGCUUGCUUCCCAGAACUGGAAGACUCCACCAUUACAGGCAGCCACCAGCAGGUGUCAGCAAGUCCUUCCUCUGCACCUGCAGAAGCAGCAACAGAAAAAACAAAAGCGGAAGAGGAAGAGAAAACCAGGAAGCCCAAGAAGAAAACCAGGAAUCCCAGCAAGAAUAGCCGGUGGAAUAUCCUGAACUGUUGGGACAUUUUUAAUAUAUUUUAGAGACCUCUGAAGAUUCCUCGAACACCAGGAAGGGCCCUGAUGUGGGGAUGUCAGCCUGGCUCAGACUUCAUAUGGAUCGUGAUCAUUUUGGGAACUGUGCUACUCCAGAAACUUUUAUAAUCUUUGCUCAAUUUGUUUUUAAACAUUUUCCUGGCUGGGCUUGGUGGCUCAUCCCUGUAAUCCCAGCACUUUGGGAGGCCGAGGCGGGUGAAUCACCUGAGGUCAGGAGUUCGAGGCCAGCCUGGCCAACAAGGUGAAACCCCGUCUCUAGUGAAAAUAUAAAAAUUAACUAGGCAUGGUGACACACUCUUGUAGUCCCAGAGGCCACUUGGGACUUGGGAGGCUGAGGCAGGAGAAUCGCUUAAACCCGGGAAGCAGAAGUUGCAGUGAGCUGAGAUCAUGCCACUGCACUCCAGCCUGGCAACAGAGUGAGACUUCAUCUAAAAAAAAGAAAAAAAUUCUGACUUUAACCUCUGUUUUUUAGAGGGCACAAAUUGUUAUUGUGUUGUUUCUCUUUCACAUUUUUUUCCUGAAGUUAUUUUCCGAUUGUUUUCAUUCUUUCCGAAGUUUUGUUCACUCAGUUUUGAGUUUUUGUAAUUUUGAUAGACUUCUUUUGUGCUUUCAUUUUCUCAAUGAUUUGUACGUCAUUUUUAAAACACUUCCGUAGUACGGACGAUAUUGAUGAUGAAAUAUCUCACGAAGAUCAUUUAGAGGUUUAUUUUGAAUAACUGACAAUUCCAGGAAUGAUGGAAUAAAACAUAUGAAGUAGAAGGACUGGAACCUCCAGAAAAAAUACUUCAAGUUACCGACAAGUGAUCUUAGUCAGGUAUAAAUUGAUAAGAAAUGCCUGCACUUUCCCUCCUUCCUAUCUUUCCCUCCUUCCUAUCUUUCCCUUGCCUACAGAAAAUUAAAAGGCAAAACAAUGGACAUUUACAUAUUCUUCAUUUAGAUUAACCAGUGGCUAGCAUUUGCCACCUUUGCAUUUUCUUUCUCUUUCCGUAAGUACGUUCUUCUCUGAAUCAUUUGAAAGCAAAUGAAAACAGUAGCCUAAAGUGUCGGUUUCAACCAGAAAAUAACAGCUAUGAUUUCUCAUGGCUCACACUCUUCUGAAACGACUCAGGAAGAGGCUGAGGAAGGCCAUGUUGUUUGUCUACCUGGGACUACACCUACUGAAAGAAGUUCUCAAGUUCUGAUUGAGUUCUAAAAGUUUUUUGAAGAUUGGAAUUCUUCAUAUAUAAAAAGAGAAAAGAGAGACAUUCUUGAUUUUGGUGACUAGAGUUGUAGAUGCUGGAAAGCUU